GGGGGGGCUAGGACGAAAUUUGAAAAAAAAUAGGCAGGACAGGAAUUUUGAGUAAAAAAAAAGGCAGGAUGAGACACUUGCAAAAAAAAAGUCAGGAUGACAAUUUAGGUAAAAAAAGUCAGGAUAAACUAAAAAAAAAAAGGCAGGACCGAAUAGAGUGAAAAAUAAAAAGGCAGGACAGAGAUUACAACUAAAAAAAAAGGCAGGACAGAGAUUACAACUAAAAAAAAAGGCAGGACAAAAUUUUUCAUCCUAGCCCCCCCAUAAAAAUCAAAUGGUAGCUCCCUUAGAAAAGUAACUUC
rnacentral:lncRNA from 1 species